rnacentral:lncRNA from 1 species
UUGAUUUAGGAUUUGGAUUAGGGUUUGAUUGGGAUUUGAUUUAAGGUUUGGUUUAGGGUUUAGGAUUUGAUUUAGGAUUUGAUUUAGGGUUUGGUUUAGGGUUUAAGGUUUGGAAUAGGAUUUAAUUUAAGAUUUGUUUAGGAUUUGACUUAGGAUUUAGGAAUUAUUAGGAUUUAAGAUUUAAUUAGGUUUGAUCUAAAGUUGAGUGAAAUUCAAUAGGGUUUUAACUAGAAUUAAAUUAAGGUUGAAUUGACAUAUAUUUGAGUAAAAUUUGUGAUCAUUCUAAUAUUUCUUUAAGAAUUUUAUUGUUUGUUUGAAAUUUCUUUGAGUUAUUUUGAAUUUGAUUACAUUUAUUUACCAUUAUUA